GACGCUCACGUCCGAGGUUACCGGGAAGGGUUAACUCUUUGUUGUAGGGCUGGCGCAGUAAACUCUUCCUUUUCUAGUUCUCUUCCUACAAGGCGAAACAUCUCUGCCAGCUUAAGAAGGUAACGCUUGCAAAACAUCGACUUGAGGGGUUGUGUUUAAGAACGGCCCAAUUCCUCAGCAGAAAGAGAGUUUCCUGGAAACAUGGCUAUUUUCCAAAGAUUUCUCAAUCAGAAUGCCUUGGAGAACGCUCAUGGCCUAGCCACAUGGAACCUUACAAGAAAGCUCUGUUGAUGGGGGAGUGUGCCCGGAAGAAUAAGCAACGUCUAUGAGAUGUGAUCUUUACCCUCCCUAAAGAAGCUGGUCUCUGUGUAUUGCGUUGAGUCAGUCCUCAGCUGAGGAUCAGAAAGAGGGAGCUUCAUGUCUCAGCAGAAAGGAUAAGGGCACGUCCACACCUGAACCAUGACAUGAGACUGGAUAAUGCAUAGCGAUUGUAAGGAGAGACUCCAGUUUGCAACGUGAUCACUAGGCGGUCAGAGUGACCGACCCAUCAGGGCUGGGCUGAGGCUGGCUUCCUUUUAAGGGAGGAAGAUAUUGAGGCUUGGCCUCUAGCCAGAGAAAGGAGGAACUAUAAUCAAGGAAACCCCAUUAUUUUGGCUUUGAGUCAUUUCUCAAGGCUCACCCAUGACUAUUAUACAAGAAGACUUUGGGAGGAAGAUAAAAUUCCUGAAGCAUAAAUGGUUUUUAAACUAAGACUUUGGUUCCAGCCUCAGCCUGGUCUACUUAACAAAAACUGCCUCAGAAAUAAUCCAGCAGAGCCAGUGAUGGCUCAGCCUGUGAGAACGUCACUGGACUAGCCUGGAGCCGACUUCAGAUCUUACUUAAGGUUGGAAGAAGAGAACUGGCUCUUGAGCCUUGUUCUCUGACUUUCACACACAUGAUGGCAUGUGCUUGCACAAUACAGGCAUAAAUCAUAAAUAAAUUAAAA